UGCGAGUCAUUGUAGUAAUACAAGGCAGACGGCUCAGUAACGCGUAGUCAACCUAACCUAUGGACGGGAAUAACCUCGGGAAACUGAGUAUAAUGCCCGAUAGAACAUUAUGCCUGGAAUGGUUUAUGUUCCAAAUGAUUUAUCGCCGUAGGAUGGGACUGCGGCCUAUCAGUUUGUUGGUGAGGUAAUGGCCCACCAAGACUAUUACAGGUACGGGCUCUGAGAGGAGUAGCCCGGAGAUGGGUACUGAGACACGGACCCAGGCCCUAUGGGGCGCAGCAGGCGAGAAAACUUUGCAAUGUGCGAAAGCACGACAAGGUUAAUCCGAGUGGUUUCUGCUAAAGGAACCUUUUGUCGGUCCUAGAAACACCGAUGAAUAAGGGGUGGGCAAGUUCUGGUGUCAGCCGCCGCGGUAAAACCAGCACCUCAAGUGGUCAGGAUGAUUAUUGGGCCUAAAGCAUCCGUAGCCGGCUCUAUAAGUUUUCGGUUAAAUCUGUACGCUCAACGUACAGGCUGCCGGGAAUACUGCAGAGCCUAGGGAGUGGGAGAGGUAGACGGUACUCGGUAGGGAAGGGGUAAAAUCCUUUGAUCUUAUUUGAUGACCACCUGUGGCGAAGGCGGUCUAACCAGAACACGUCCCGACGGUGAGGGAAGAAAGCCUGGGGGAGCAAACCGGAUUAGAUACCCGGGUAGUCCCAGCUGUAAACUAUGCAAACUCAGUGAUGCAUUGGCUUGUGGGCCAAUGCAGUGCUGCAGGGAAGCCGUUAAGUUUGCCGCCUGGGAAGUACGUACGCAAGUAUGAAACUUAAAAGGAAUUGGCGGGGG
rnacentral:rRNA from 1 species